GACGAACGCUGGCGGCGUGCUUAAUACAUGCAAGUCAACUGAACUUUAGGUAGCAAUAUUUAAAGGGAGGUGGCGCACGGGUGAGUAACACGUAGGUAAUCUGCCUUCAGGACUGACAUAAUUCCGCGAAAGCGGGACUAAAAUCAGAUGAUGCAGCGGCUCGACAUCGAGCCAGUUGUUAAACCUUCGGGGCCUGAAGAUGAGCCUGCGUCUGAUUAGGUAGUUGGCGGGGUAAAAGCCCACCAAGCCUGCGAUCAGUAGCUGGUCUGAGAGGAUGAUCAGCCACACUGGAACUGAGACACGGUCCAGACUCCUACGGGAGGCAGCAGUAAGGAAUAUUGCUCAAUGGCCGAAAGGCUGAAGCAGCAACGCCGCGUGGAGGAUGAAAUACUUUAGUAUGUAAACUCCUGUAAGAGGGGAAAAAUAUACAGCUAUGCUGUGUUGAUUGUACCCUCAGAGUAAGCACCGGCUAAC
rnacentral:rRNA from 1 species